GCCCCUAUAGCUCAAUUGGUAGAGCAACUCCCUCUUAAGGAGAUGGUUCUAGGUUCGAGUCCUAGUGGGGGCA
rnacentral:tRNA from 1 species